GGCAGCAAGCUGGAUCCGUAACUUCAGGAUAAUGAUUGGCUCUAAAGGCUGGGUUGGUUGGGUUGGGGCACGAAGUGGGGCUGGGCCCACACAUGGCGAUGACUCUGGACACACACUGGGCCCUUCCCGUGGAUCACCCCAGUCCUUUUGGUCCGCACCCAGCGGCGGGGGCCAGGGGUUCCUCUGGUGCAUGUGCAGUCAUGGCCAGCAUCAGUGAAUGGUUCCACGCAUGGGGGAGGGUCCCUGGGGGGGUCCGUGGGCCAGCAAACAGCUUAGAACUGUUACGGGCCAGGGGAAUCCGACUGUUUAAUUGAGGCAAAGCAUUGCAAAGGCCCAUGGUGUGUGUUGACACGAUGUGGUUUCUGCCCAGCGCUCUGAAUGUCAAAUUGAAGAAGUUCAAUGAAGCGCAGGUAAAUGGUGGGAGUAACUAUGACUCUCUUAAGGCAGCCAAAUGCCUCGUCAUCUCAUUAGUGACACGCAUAACUGAAUGAAUGAGAUUUGCACUGUCCCUGUCCAGGGAAACCACAGCCAAGGGAACAGACUUGGCAGAAUCAGCGGGGAAAGAAGACCCUGUUGAGCUUGGCUCUAGUCUGGUGCUGCAAAGAGACACAAGAGGUGUAGAUUAAGUGGGACAAUCGGCCCGCCAGCAUCCCAGCUGUUGGUGAAAUGCCACCUCUCUGAUCAUUUGUCACUUACCUGUUGGGCAGGGGGGCAAGCCCCAAAGGGGGCCCUUGCUUCUGGGACAGUGGCAGGUGGGGAGUAUGACUAUGACGAUACACAUGUCAAAGCGUAACGCAGGUGUCCUAAGGUGAGCUCAGGAAGAUGGAAACCUCCCAUGGAGCAGAAGGGCAAAAGCUUGCUUGAUCUUGAUUUUCAAUACGAACACAGAAUGUGAAAGAGGGGUCUCAUGAUCCUUCUGGUUUUUUGGGUUUUAAGCAGGAGGCAUCAGAAAAGUUACCACAGGCAUAACUGGCUUGUGGCGGCCAAGCGUUCAUAGCAAGGUCACUUUUUGAUCCUUUGAUGUCAGCUCUUCUUGUCAUUGUGAAGCAGAAUCACCAAGCACUGGAUUGUUCAUCAACUAAUCGUGAACGUGAGCUGGGUUUAGACUGUCAUGAGACAGGUUAGUUUUAUCCUUAAUAACGAUAAGUUGUUGAAAUAGCAAUCCUGCUUAUUACGAGAGGAGCCACAGGUUCGGACCCUGGUGCAUGCGCUUGGCUGAGGAGCCACUGGUGCGAGGCUACCACCUGCGA
rfam:Nestor notabilis contig66728, whole genome shotgun sequence.